CCCAAGUGGUUACGGGGUUUAACUCGAAAUCAAAUGUGACCUUCACGCGCAGGUUCGAAUCCUGCUGACUG
rnacentral:tRNA from 1 species